CAGAUCACACCGCAACAUCCAUGGACUGUGAGGGGAAGAUAAGCAUAUACAGAGCAGUGAGAACCAUAAAACGAAGAGACAACACUCUCUACAACGCUUUGAGAUCCAUAUACGAAGAUUCGAUUUUUGUUGGCGAGAUCUCCCAGCUAUGGCCCGACCUUCCCCUUCUCGCCAACCUCCGCUGCGGCCUCUGGUACUCUUCCAAAUUCUACGCUACUUGCUACUUCAAAUCCAC
rnacentral:misc_RNA from 1 species